rnacentral:tRNA from 1 species
UUAUAAAAAGCAAUUUUGCAUUCAGUUUCGACCUGACCUUAGGAUUCACACCUUUAUUUAAUAAA